rnacentral:rRNA from 1 species
CCCUUAGAUGUUCUGGGCCGCACGCGCGCUACACUGAUGCAUUCAACGAGAUUCUUCCUGGUCCGAGAGGAAUGGGUAACCUUUUGAAAGUGCAUCGUGAUAGGGAUAGACUAUUGCAAUUAUUGGUCUUCAACGAGGAAUUCCUAGUAGACGUAGUUCAUCAGACUGCAUCGAUUACGUCCCUGCCCUUUGUACACACCGCCCGUCGCUCCUACCGAUUGAAUGCUCAGGUGAGCCAUUCGGACUUUCAUCAUGCUGGUUUCCAGUUUUGAUGAAGGAAAGUCUUGCGAACCUUAUCAUUUAGAGGAAGGAGAAGUCGUAACA